GCCGUGUGAGGGCGCGAAACGCCUUAGCACCUCAGCAAUGCUCCUUUCCCGCCUCCCUGUGACACAGUGAGGAGCCCAGAAACCGUCUGGCAUCCGAAAUUGGAAGUCGGAAAGAACACGGGCGGUUUAUCCGACCAACACCAGUGGCACUGGGAAACAAGGAUCUAAUUUGCUAGAACGCGAGGAACAUAUCUGGAUUUCAAAUGCAGGCUUGAAAUUGCUCAUCCUUUUCUCUUCUGUAGGUCUGUUAAGUAUUAGCGUCGCGAUCAGUUUUUUUAGGACGCGCUUUUAAUGGAAAAUGGUGUUAAUUGUGGAAAUAGCAGUGUUGAAAAAACAUUCAAAUGAUUCCAACAGGUAGAUGUUUUUUCUUCCGCAUUCAUUCCCCUCAAGCCUUUUACCCAGAUGACCUUUUAAUGUCUUAACAGUGACACUUGGACAGCAGUUUCUCAAUCCCUUGACAGGCAGCACGCACAGCCUUUGUAAACACCAGUCCAGCGUCUUGCCUUCACAGGAAGAGCUCGCCAUUUGCCCGCGCCUCAGCUGCUCUCUGCCAUCUGGUGGAUACGCGGAGUCACUGCUUCGAUACUUCCAAUUUCCACAAAGAACGCGGUGUUCUGAAUAACUAAGCCGAUAUCGCACAACCGCAGGAUGGCUGAGGCUGGCCGGCCCUCUCUGCCCACCUGGACCCAGCCCUGCCCGAGCGGCGUGCCCAGGGCCAUGGCCAGACGGCUUCUGGAGAUCUCCAAGGAGGGGACUCCACAGCCUCUGGGCAGCCUUUGUCAAUGCUCUGUCUCCCGCACAGCACAGAAGUGCGGUCUGCUGGUUGGUCAGAACCUCCUGUGUGGCAGUUUGUGCCCAGUGCCCUUUGUUCUGCUGCUUUCUACCUGAGAGGCCCCAGCCUGUCCUGCGUUUGGCCCUUCUCCUUCCUGCACUUCAUGUUGUCCUUUUACAGAGGUGCUAUUUAAGAAAGCAUAAAAGAUCUCACAAGAAAAACACUGUUUAUGUUUGAAAACUUAGAUCAAAAUCUCUCGUGUAUUUUACCAGCUGAUUUGCAGCCUAGUGAACAUUUGACCCACGUAGGUUAAAAAUGAACAGGCUAGUUACACCAUACGCAUUCGUUCCAUAACAAUGUAUGCACCACAGCUACUGUUCUCUGUUCAGAUUCAGAGGCAGAAGCACGAUUUUAAAGCAGUGCAGACCAAGCUGAAAUACGUGGCCUAUCUCAUGUGGCAGCGUGCAGUAAAAAGAAGGGAUUGAUGGAAUGCUACGGCUGCACAGCAUUUAGUGCUUCAUUCCUUGCUGGAGUCAAUCCUUGAACACAGGUCAGGCUUGCUGGUGAGGAUGUGGACACAACUGACCAGAGCUGGGAUCUCUCGUCAAAUCAUCAUUCUGCAGCUUGGUGAUUAUUUCUAACUCAAGAUGUUUGUAAGUGAUUCUUUCAAAAAGGAGGUUUUAACAUUUGAUGGUACACAAAGUCAUAUAGGGUAGAAUCAGAACCUCGGCUUUAUCUCAUUUAUUUUGCAUUCCUUUGCAUUUUUGAAGACAGGUUGCAGAGAGCAGCCCCAACUACUGAAAACAUACAGCAAAUAUUUUUCCCGAGGAUUAGAGCUGACAAAACACAGUCAUGGCUUUGUGCCAUGUGGCUGACUUUCCAUACUUGAUAAAAGAUGUCUGCAUAUUUAAAAAGUCUCUCUCCUAUUCUACUUUUGCAGUGUCUAACGCUGUGUGGACUUUGUUGGCCUUUUCUCCGGUUACCAGUAUUACCUUGGGUCUCUUAAUGUAAGGCCUCUUUCCUUAUCUUUUCAAGCUCUGCUCUCUGACAAAGUUCUCAGGUGUGGUCAGACCUUCAAGCACACGGUGUGACUGCACAGGACUUCUUCCUGUUAAGAAACUCAUCAAUAAUUGUGUGUGGGUCUUGCACAUUGCAGGAGUGCGGGUGUUAGAGAGAAGGCUUAGCCAUAAGGGAAUUUGCUCUGAAAUGUUUAAAAGAAGAUUGAUACAAGUAAACCAGCCUUGAGGAGAGAGCUGAACCCUUUGGAAGAACUUAAGGAGUUUGUCCUUGUAGCAAGUCAGAGCCACCUCACUGUUUUCUGUUUACCAGCAAGCAUUUUGUACUUGUUUUGUGCCAUACCUCCAUGGGAGCAUGUGGCUUCCUGCCUUUGUGUAACAACUUCAGCCCUGUUUGAUGCUGGAUAAAAACAUGAGUCACUCUUUCAGAUCACAGUGCUCCAGAAUGAGAUCGUUUUACAUAACAAAUCAUGAUUAUGAUUUGAAGAUGAAACAAUCCUCCCACAACCCUUUUAUCACAAGUAUGUGAUGCUAUUUUUCAAAUAUGCUGCACAUCUACGUGAAAUACGGGAUGGACUGCUCCUGGAGUUUGUUAACACGGGAGGGAUGCAUCCAAAGACAUGCAGAGAAACAAUGGGAAAAGCUGAAAAUAGAAGGUAGACUUGCACAGAUCAUGAUCAUCUCCCUAGACAAAGUAUCUGGAAGAUAGAGGUGUACCUAGAAAUGAGAACCACGAGCAGCUGGGCUCCAUUGCCGUCACGGAAGUUAUAUGCACAGAACUUCAAGUUUAUCUGCUGACGUGCAGCACAGCUACUACUCACUGUCAGGAGAUCCCAGCACGUGAAUAAUGAGUGAGGGGACCUUGAUAAAGUGUUAAAGGCCUACACCUUAUCUAUGCAAGAGACUCCGAGCUCAAACGAUGAUGCUGAGCAGUAUCAACGGGCAGUUUUCCAAGCAGGAACAAAGUGACUGGGAGAUGCGGCACCAACCUGGCCCUUCUGUGUUCCCUGGAUCCUGAGGUGUCUCUGGGCCUUCUGACAGCCAAGUGCACUGCAUGCGGGGCAGAGUUGAAUUUCACUUGCAUCAUUCUUUUCACUACAGGGACUAUCAAUCGGGGAGUUUUGGUAAACACAAGUGAGGAAAGAGACAUGGUACAAGAAUACCUACAGAUAUUAACUACACAAUCGGAAAAUAUCAUGAGCUUAGGCUGCUUAAAUGCUAUCUAACACUUCUGAGACAACGUUAUGAGGUAAUAGGUGCCAGGGGGCUAUCUGGAGACUGGCAAUACACCUGCAACAAAGAAAUAAUCAAAGAUGAAAGCCAGUCUGAAACUAAGAGUUAGCAACAAUAUCCAGAAAUGAGCCUGUGAACACAGCAAGGCAGAAGAAUAGCAACUGGAAACUGUCAGUUGGUCCAUUGCUGUGGCUGAGACCAUACAUCUCAUGCAGUUGUAGGCGUGCUGAUAACAGAAAUAUGUUAACAGUUUGACAAGAUUUCAGCGAAAAGGAUGGGGGAAGGGGUUCCCUUUGGAGCUCAGGACUCUCAGGGUCUGUCCAUGUCACUCUUUGGCACCUUCUGUAAGUUUGAGACCUGAGGACCUUAAAAGGAGUGAAUCAAAUUCUUCCUUAAGCUAUUUCUAGAUGCAAAGGUGAAGCUUUGCAGCAGCCAACCAAGUAAGUAGAGUGGGAGCAAAACUUGUCUCAAACUCCUUAGCAUAAGUAAGUAAUGAAUUAAUGAAAAAUAUACUGGUCUUUAUAUUUUUGGAAAAAAGUAAGGGUGAUUAAGGGUGAUUCUGGUAGGUAUGGGGAAAAAUAGUGGGAAAUGGAAUACCAUAAGCAAAAACCAAGUUAAUGUGAUUAGAAAACAAAUCCUGCUAGGAUGCAGGACUCCCAGGAGUUCCGUUACCAGAGUGAUUUAAAAAUAGAAGAAAAAAAUGACUAAUCCUAAACUGAAAGAGAGUACAAAACUGUAAAUCUCCAUCUUUAAUUUCUGGAAGAAAAAAUGUGAGAAUAACUCUAUUCAGAGAAACGGCCAGAACUAUUCUGUCUCUACAAUGGAAUUUUUGCUUGAUUAUGAAGAAAUUAAAAACCUCAGGCUUUGUUUCUAUGGUUCUCAUUCCAACUUCAAAUGCAGUUUCCUGGGUUUAAUUUUUUCCCCUUUUCUAGGAAAAAGAAAAGAAAAGGAAAGCCCUCUCUUACCCCUCGCUCCCCUAUGUAUACAUUCUGGAUAUUUAAGUGGGUAUUUCAUUGGAAUGUUUAUCUGCGCGAUGUUAGUAAUUAAAUCCGUGAGUUCCGCCAGUCACAUGAACUCAGCAUUUUAUUUUAGUUCAAUGAGGAGUUACGUAAUCAUUUAUAGUCUGAGCUGCAUUCGUCAUUUAAAUCUCUUUGCAGUGCUUCUUACCAUGGCAUGCGUUGGUUCUGAGUUUUGCCUAAUUACAAGGACAUUUUUCUGUUUGUGGGAAGACUUAAGAUACACUACAGUUUCAAGUCAACAAAGUCAAUAUAUGUACCAUGACUUCAUUAACUAAAACUAACCCUCUUCACAUAACAACUCAGAGGAUCAAAGUAAGUGUGUGUAGCUCCCAUUAAACACAGCAGCAUCUUACCUUAUUCUAUCAUUAUUUGUUACUGUGAGCUUUAGAAUUAAUAAUUAAAAACAACAAUAUAUAUUACAAUAUAAUAUAUAAGUACACUGUUAAAUAUUACAUAGAACAUUAUAGAGCUAAUAAUAUGUGUAAUUUAAAAUUAUUUGAAGAUUUAAAAUGAAAUGAAGCAACUCAUAAAGGGAAGGUGAUAUAAGUUACCAUUCACAAGGAAUUUAGUGCAGUGCCACGUGCUCGGUGCAGUGAUCUCAUAUGUUUGUGGACAAGAUCCUCAAUUAAAGAACUUGUUAGACAGAGUUGCUUAGGAAGGCUAAUAACUUUUAACAUUAUUAUGCAAUAUAAUAAUUUUUCAGUCAGACUGUAUUUGACUUAGAGUACUGGCAGAAGAAAAUUCACAUCCAAAACGUGUAUCAUAAAUGUUUUGUGAAGUUUUAUGUUUAAAGUUUCUUUAACACAUUAUCUUCUGAAUUGCCCGAGCAACAUCCUCUCAAAAUACCCUUUAAAAACAUCUCCCAGAAUAAAAUGACAGUGUGAUUUCUUUUCCAUUCACCGUCUUCUUUCUGCUCUCUCUAUAUAAUAAACAACUUCCUACAGACUUUUAUUUUUAACAUUUGAAGUUUGAUGUCAGAAUGUAAUUUCUGAGAAGCAGAUGAACUCAAGUAUUCCCUCUUGCUGAAUGAGCCUGCGCCCAGCAGCCGUUAACUGGGACGUACACAAACAGGAAUAUCAAACGGUGGUUUUGCCAUGUGACCUCUUCCACUGCACACACAAAUAUAGAACAUGACCAUAAAAAGUAACAGAACAUGCUCUCUGCUAAGUAAUUUAUUGCGGUUGAUGCUAGAUCGGUAUGCCAGCUGGAAUUACCUUCCCAGCUCCUACUGUUUUCACAUAUACAGAUAAUAAAGGCUGUGCACUGCUGCAGAUUCCAAAUGAAAAAAAUAUCAGCUUUAUUAUCAAGGAGCAAAACUCCGCAGAAGCAGCUUAAGCAAGCUGAAAUGAAAAUGUUUGCUAGUGAUUCACAGAAGGAGUUAAAGAUCUGAAAGAAUACUACAGCCUUCAACAUUUUCACAGAGGGGGAAAAUAUUGCUUUUUGUAUGACAUGUAUUUCUCUUCCUUCUCUGCUAAGCACAGAAAAGUCUAAGGAUCAUUAUACAUGUAGGAGCUUUCUUUUUGUUUGAAUUCCUUGUUCAUUAGUUAUAAGCUGCAAGAGCUGAGCUAAUUUAUUUUUGCAGGGCAUUUUCCCCUCCCUUUUUUUUUUUUUUAAAGGCACCACGUAUGACAUCCCAACAUGACAGGAACUCAGUAAAUCCCCUCCGUCUCCACACCGCUGUCUCUGAAUGUCUGCAAAGCUACUAUGCCAUAAUCGCAACCCGCUGGCUCAUUCACAGCUUUACAUUAUAAAGCAAACAGUCUAGACAGCUGAAUGACAGAAUUACUCUCUUUUCUCUUGCAUUUAUAGAUAUGCUGUCAUCUUCAUUUGCUUUUCUCUACCCUGUGCAUUCCGAUACACUAAUGACCAGCUUUCCUGUUUGGAUUCCACACUGACUCUGUGGCUCUAGGCUGUAAAUACAACCAGAGCCCAGAUGACAUUGCAUCAAUGAAGUCCUGGAGUUGGAAGGACCCCUGAUUCUUUCCCUCCCUGGCGUUAUCUGGUGUUAACUAGCUUUUUCAAAACUCUUAACUAAUACAGCUUUGCAAAAGGAUUCUUUUCCCCAUUGAGAUGGAGAUAUAAAAAGCCUGAUGUUUUUUGAGCUGUCACUCUCUGCAGUAGAGCAUACUAUUCAAGUUGCAUAAAGUAGGCAGCCUUCAACUAGUUUCAGGUUAUCUGCUAUAUAGCUGCAUGUAGGACUGUGCAAAAAGUAUGUGCAAAAAAGAGGAAAGGAAUUAACAACUGUAGAGUUUUGGAUGCCUAUUAAAAAUGUGUACCUAACAGUCUUCACGUUAAAAAACCUUCAGUAAUUGGACUGGGUUUGUUGUCACUGAGAAACGAGCCUUAGCCUGUAAUAUUCCUGGUAUUUUAACACACAUAUCGUCCGGCACUUCCUCUGUGCUAAAAGAUAAUUAAAUGAUAAAACAAUACUUUUUUUUGCCAUCAACAAGCUGAACAAUCCCAUACAAGCCUGAUAAUGCCCAGCCAUACACGUGGCCAACUGUGGUGAUAUUUAUGGCAAGGUUUUUAUUAUUUGUUGCUUUUCUUAAUGCUUCUGCAGCUGUCGUUCUGGAUCGCAGGAGAAUCUCUUUUUACACUUGUUCUUUUUUUAAAUUUGCUUGUUUUGCUGCCAUUUUAAAAUGAAAGUCUCUGAACUUUACAGCUGAAAAAAUCUCAAAUCUUUGACAUCAGGUUCAGAAAAAGCUAAGGGUAAAAUCUAGGAGAAGCCACUCCAAUUCUCACUUGAAAAGCAGAGAAAAUCAGACUGAUAACACAUCACCAAGUAGUGAGCCAGAGCUUUUACUUUCACCAGAGGGGGGACAAUACCAACAAUCUGGAGCACUGCAUUACAUUAGUGGCCAUUGGAAACUGUUCGUUGGGGAAUAUUUUACCAACAAGCAUGAAGAGUUUUGUGGGCCACUGGGUGUGAUUGUGUUCACAGCCAAUAUAAAUGACUUCUUGAGGCCUGUACCAGUGGGAAUUUUGCCUGUUCUCUGCAAACCAUGACCCACUUUUACUCUCUGAGAUCAGGGACAGAUGGAAAAACAAAAGAUCCCUUCCCUUGCUUGGAACUCCAUAAAUCAGAAGUGUCAUCUGGAAUAUCUGCACUUUUUUUCCUCGAGUACCUUAAAAGAUACUGAUUAGAAAAACUUUCAGUUUGUAUCUCUAAGAUCCGUAAUCACAGCAAAAUUUCAGUAAUUCGUCCUAGUUGCAGAGAGCUCUGAUUUGAGAAUACAGAGUUUAGUGAACUAUGAUCUACCAGAAAAAGACAGAACUGAAGGCUGUGCAAGUAGAGCCUUCAUUCUCUGCAUGCUCACAGAAGGAAGGUUGGAGAGCAGUCCCACAGAAGGGCUGCCCAGACACUGUUCCCAGGACUCAUACAGUGCUACUAUCCAAAACUUUGUGCCCUGCAGAAACCACAAAUGACAUUUCGUUUCAUUUCAAAUGGCAUUUCUUAACAACUCCACAGCCUCCCUGAGCCUUCUAGUUGUGAAAGGUUACCACUAAAGUAAAUAAAUCAACUUGAUCUAAAAUGCUGUUUCCUGUUCUUGACAAAAAGCAUUGCUUCUUCCAAAAUUAGACUAACCCAGAGCUCUGAGAGUAUUCAGUCUAGGGGCGAGUAUUGAUCUUUUUUUUUCUCUCAAUAGCUUAUUCCCUAACUUCCAAGUCUAUUAUACAACAUCCCUGUGGGGCUAGCAAAAAGUCAUUAUAUUGCCUAGUAUCUUCAGCUUCCAGAGAAACACCGAUCCUACUACAGCCCUAUAAUGAAAACCUCCUUUGCUUUCUGCAGUGGUCUUAUAUGUGUUGUUCAGAAAAAUUUCUUCACUCUGAUUAUUGUAAACUUUCUGAUUAUUACAGUACCAUGCUAAUAAAACUAAAAGCAAGCAUCUAAGUACACUGUAUAAAGUAACAGAUAAAAGCAAAUGCAGAGAUGAUAUGAAACAUGCAGGAAGACAGCCUUUUUAGUGCAGCGACUCUUGAAACUGUAGGUCAGUUUUCUUACCUCUUGAGGCUCUUGACAUUGAGAUGCUAACACCAGGAAAGAUCUCUGUGCUUGGAAAGCAGCACGUACCAUCUCUGCCUGUAAGAAAAGGAGAUAAGUUAAAUCUUAGCCUGUGACCUCCAGUACUUCUCUUUGGCAGCUCAAAGUCAAGUGUGACAGCUCAAAUUUUUCUUGCUGUUUCUCAUCUAAAUCACAGCAAUGCUGACUGGAAAAAAUGUACUAUAGAGGCUUAGCUAUAUAUAUAUAUAUAUAUAUAUAUAUAAAAAAACCCUGAAGUUAGGCUUCCUAUCUUCUUCAGAUAGGAAAUAAAACAAGUUGAUAUGCAGCCUUUUGCUUAUCAUUCAUGAGAUAAGUCACGGAAGGACUUAAUUUUACCACUUCAGAGAAUGUUCAGGCAUUUUAAUGGCAAUGUAAUGGUAGUGUUUAUAUUCAGAGUGCAAGAUAGCAACUUACUACUGCUGAGACCUGCAGCCUGCAAACCUUCUGUUGAACGGUACCUUAGGCUGUAGUGAUGUUCAAGAAGAGUUGAGUUUGGCAUGUUUACUGAGAGAUGGGGCUGCAACUCAUUCCUUUCCUGUAUUUCCCCAUGCAAACCCUAAGAGUGAUGGCUAUGAGAGAUGAUGGGUGGCUGAGGAUUUUUGGGCAAUUUCCUCCCACAGAACUCUAGAAUUUGGAUUAAAUCUGCAUCUGACAAGUUUGUUCUUGAACACUACACAUUUUCUUUAUAUUAUGAAUGAUGCAUGUUGAUUUGAAUCUAAUCAGUAUUUCACUAUCACAUGUCUUAUUCAAAUGGAUGAGCAAUAACUAGAAUGAUGAGUUAUUGGCAUAGAAAAGAACUAUUCAUAAAUAGCACGUAUUGCUAUAUAAAACCAAACCAAAUGCUGUUAAGUUAAUCUAAUAUGAAUGAGCACAUUUAUAAUCACUUUGUGAAAGGGUAGGGAAGUUUGUUCAUGCUGUUUGUCUUUGAGGUUUCUUUAGUCUAAAAAGAAAACAGGAAAAUUUUACAUACGGGCUUAUGUGAAUGCAACUUAAAUUACAUAAAUGUGAGGAAGUUCCAAGUUCAAAGCCAAAUGGUGUUUAUCUAUCUUAAAAUGUUAUGGCAUGAAUAAAUCUGUUAGGAUGAAAAUCACUGCAAGGAAAGGUGGUAAAAGGGGCCAACUUGAACAGUAUUUGUGUAGAAGGGGGAUGUUAUACUCUGACAAGCUGAGAUUUGUAAGAAGGCAAUCAUCUCUAUAAAUGGAUAAAUAAAUAAAUAAAUAAAGAGGGAAAUUAUAUCAGCGUAGGAGACAUAACUUUUUUAGACAUAGACAAAAAUACUAUCAAUAAUGGCGAGGUUUGGUUUUUUUUAGGCAUUUCAGAAGACUGACUUUUGGUACAGAAACUUUUAAAACAACAACAUGUGUGCUAUUUUAAGCUUAAUUUUUGUGCAUACGGAGGAUCUUGCAGACCAGCUGACCAAAAAAAUAAUAUUCAAGGAGGAGUGAUUAUGAAUGGAUUCAGUUCUUCUGAAACUGCUGGAUGGACAAAAAUAAAUCUACAGGUUGGUAUUUUAGAAGGGCAAACUUUUGGAAAAUAGAAAAAUCAGUGAAUGAAGAUGACUGGCCCAAGGAACUAAAUGAACUGAAUGCAGGAAAAAUGGAUUUGCAUUAAUAAUAGAAAUAAUUUGCACAUGCUGGGCAAGAGAAGAAUUAGAUAGUUUCUGGAUUAAUAAAUGACUGAAGCAAGAUGCUAAGUGCAGAACCUAUAAAGAGUGAGAAGAGGCCUUGAUUAUCGAGGAUAAUUUGGUUCAGAGAUUAUAAAAUAAAGAAGCAAGGAAAUCAAGGAUAAAUGCCUUGUUGAUCUGUCUUGCACAGAGAAGUAAAACUAAGCCAUAGGUUUUUUUAGUUACUGAACGAUAAAGAAAUCAAGGGAUGAACUGAGGCCGUGGCCAUGACCUGAAGAGUAAGUUGAGCAUCCUUAUAUUGUUCUUGAUGUAUAACUUCAUAGAAUCAUAGAACGGCUUGAGUUGGAAGGGACCUCAAGAAUCAUCAGGUUCCAAUCCCCAUGCCACAGACAUAGUUGCCAACCGCUAGCUCAAACACUAGACCAGGCUGCUCUGGGCCCCAUCCAACCUGGCCUCAAACACCUCCAGGGAUGGGGCAUCCAUAACCUCUCCGGGCAGCCUGUUCCAGAACCUCACUGCUCUCUGAGUGAAAAACUUUCCCCUGACAUCUAAUCUAAAUCUUCCCUCCUUUAGUUUGAAAUCAUUUCCCCAUUUCCAAUCACUCUCUACCUAUGUAACAAGUUAAUUUCCCUCCUGUUUAUAGUUUCCCUUUAAAUACUGGAAGGCCAUAAUGAGGUCUCCCUGCAGCCUUCUCUUCUCCAGACCGAACCAGCCCAGCUACUUCAACUUGUCUUCAUAGGAGAGGUGCUCCAGCCCUCUGACCAUCUUCAUGGCCCUCCUCUGGACCCUUUCCAAAAGCUCCACAUCUUUCCCAUUGUGUGGGCCCCAGAUCUGGACACAGUACUCUACAUGGGGCUUCACAAGGGCAGAGUAGAGAGGGACAAUCACCUUUCUUGCCUAGCUGACCACCUCUCCCUUGAUGCAGACCACGAUACUGUUUGCCUUUGGGGCUGCAAGUGCACGCUGCUGGCUCAUUUUAAGUUUUUCAUCUACCAGCACCCCUCCAUCCUUCUCAGCAAGGCUACUGCUCUCAAGGAGCUCUUCUCCCACUUUAUAUAUGUACCUGGGAUUACCCUGACCCAAAUGCAAAACCUUGCACUUUGCUUUGUUGAACCUCAUCAGGUUUACAUGGCCCCACCAUUUGAAUUUAUCAAGGUCCCUCUGGAUGGCAUUUCUUCCUUCUGCUGUAUCAGCUGCAUCACCCAGUUUGGUGUCAUCAGCAAACUUGCUGAGGGUGCACUCAAUCCCAUCAUUUAUGUCAUUGAUCAAGAUGUUAAAAGAGUACUGAUCUCAAGACAGACAGGGACACCACUCGUCACCGGUCUCCACCUGGACAUAGAGCUAUUGACCACAACCCUCAACUUACCUGUUGUUAAGUAAAUGUUUUUCCUCAGUCUUCAAGGAACUUGACGUACAUGAGGAUAAUGAAAAGCUAACUAAGGAGAAUGUUGGUAGAUCAGUGGAAAUUACCCCAUUUGAAAGAGAAGUCAAAUACACAUAGCUUAGAGUGACAGAAUCAUUGGCUCCAUAUCAUCUUUGUUCAUUACUGAAGACACUGGCAGACAGAAGCACAAGAAAAGAUUUUUAAUAUGUAUCAUUUGCAGGUACUACCGGAGGAUAGAAGUAUCCAAUGAUGGAUUGGGGAAAUAUACCUAAGAACAGAAUUAAAAAGCACACCAAAUGUUUUCAUGGCUAUUAAUCUGACUUCAGUGCCAUGCACGCUUAGAUUCAAAAGGAAUGAUUAAAAACAAAGAUGCAAAUUAUAAAUGGGAGAAAUUAAAAUGUGCUUCUAUCUGUGGUUAAAAUCAUUACUGUUGGGUAUUUUUUAGAAUUUUCAGUUUCUUAGACGAGGGCGAUAUACCGAAUCUAACAUACAUAGAUAUUAUAUAUUUCAUGGGAAAUUUGUACUUUAGAUGGAAAUGAUGCAAAUUAGUAUAAAAACUCUAGGUUGGAUAAGAAGCUGGAAAAAAUGGGGACAGCAGUAGGGCAUACUGCACAAAGUGUUGUUUGAGAGGAGGGAAGUUACUAGUUGUGUUCCUCAGGGUUUUAAGAACUACCAGUAUGUCUAUUAGUGUUUUAAGAGCAAGAAUAGACGUGCACUCAUAAGAUUUGCAGGCAACACAAAGUUAGGAGUUUUUAAUACCACUGAAAAUGAGUCCGUCAUCACUUGUGAAGAGCAAGGUAACUUUUUUUUUGGCAGAGGUAAUAUCAACAGGAUAAAAUUAAGCAAUUCUGUCCUUUUCCUCCCUUCUAGGUUAAAACAAUGCUAAAAUUGGGAUCUAAACAAGGAAUCAAUUGAUUAGAAAUGCUGAAGCCUGGAAAAUGCAAGUAGGAAAGCCAGGGAGGUUCCUUUGUGAAAAUAGUUUAUGCAGUUCUACAGCCGAUGUGACAAAACAGUUUAUGGUAGAGUUACAGAAGUCCAUUGGAGAGGACACUGUAAGAAACUCUCUGGAAUUCUCUGUAAAGCACUAAUCAUUUGUUUUAAAGAAAGAGAGCUUAAAUUAAAACUGAGCAGAGAAAACCUAUGGAUAUUUAGAGCAAUAGAGUAAUUGUCUUACACAGAUAAAUUUUAAAGGUUUCAUUUGUGCUUAGUAGCACAGUGGGUAAGGAAUAUGAUGAUUCUUUCUCAUACAGAACGUAAAUAUCAAAGAGAAGGAAGAAGAGCUCUGGUCACGGGUCUGUAAACUGGGUCACAAACAUAGUCUCAACUUCAGAUUUCCAGCUAACUCAGAGGGUGAAGUUCAGAAGGGUUCUUCCAAAUUCCUACAAAGAGCCAACAUCAUUUUAAGACAGAACUUUGCAUGCUGAUAGAUCACAAAACAAGAGUUUGAAAAAAAAGUCUGGCUUUUUUUUUUUUUUUUAUACUGCAUUAAAUCCAUACUUUUGGGUUUCCACUUACACAUAGAGACUGAGUAGAACCUUUUUCUCCCCUCAGAGUAUAAUGUAACAAAUGGUUUCUUGUCUGAUUUUUCACUUCUUUUCUGCUGAUGUACUAGCUUUCCACAUCAUUUUUAUUAACCCCUUACUUAUUGUAGGACACUGGAAACAUUUAGUGGUCAGUGGACUACGUAUUGAUCGAUGAUACCAUACCCCCUGAGAUUAUCCAGCCCCAUGGGCUUUUAGUUGCAUGGGGGGAAAAGCCCUGAUAUUUCUUACCUUUGAAAUUAAGUCUUAAUCAAAAGACUGUGCUAACGCAGCUUUUGAAUUUUUACGAGCCCAAUUUCACAAGACUUCUGCAACAGAUACUUCCUUCUUUCUCCAGCAGCAUUAAAAAUGGGUUUCUGAGCUUAAUGUUUCCAAACGUGCAGUAUUUCUUUCCAUGCAUCCAGUCAAAGUAUUAGAAGAGCUUCUUCUCAUUAAGAAUGCAUUAGUUCAGUUUAUCACCACCUCAAUUCUUUCAGUAUUUGAAAUGUGGCACUUUGUUGCUACUUCCUUCUUUUCAGCAAGCAGGCUGUGUAACCAAGCGGAAGCACUUUUUUAUGUAGAACUGAUUCUUUCAUUAGACCUCCAUAUCCACUGAAGUCUGGUAAAUGGAAAUGGACUGGAGGGAUUUUUCUCAACAGUUUGUGCUGCUCAGCCAAAAGACUGCCACAGAAUAAACCAGCUGAAACUCUUUCAGUUAUAAUGAAUGAUAGUAAUGAAGACUGAGUGUCAAAAACGUAUAGGGAUUGUGAGUAAAUUUAUCAAAGUAAACUAGAACACAAGCUUGCACACAUUUCUCUGCAGAUAGAAAUGGGAUAUUUUGGAGCAGCAGAUAAAUGGUAUCUCAAAACUUUAGGUAAUCCUUUUGGCAUUCUUGGGAUUACGUACAGAUAUAGCAAUCAUCAGAUAGAUUCUGCAGCUAAGGCAAACACUUUGAAGGAAGCAAAUUCUUCAGAAUAUUUUCUACUCUGCUUUUAAUGGCUUGUGCUAAAGGCUGGAAGAGAUGGCUGUGUCUUUGGGCUCGAAUGCCCAGACUGCCUGCAUGCCAUUCUCCUCCUCAGUUUCCCAAACAGUAAAUUGUGGAAGAAGCUGUCUUAAUCUUCUUCCUAAAGUGUGCUUUAUAGUUGCCUUAGGUAGUUACUAUGGCUGGAAGAGAAGAAUUCUGACAUGCCAGCCCAGUUCCAAUCCUGUUGAAGUCUGUGUCUGACUACAGGGAGUGGCCUCUCCAUCAACGUCACAGUAACAGCAUAGACAGACCUCUUCAAAGUUCAGCCUGCAAAAAUUAAUGGAGGAAUCAUUUGUCCUUAAGAUGCCUCUUUCUCAUUUUAAACAUUUUAUUCAAUCUAAGUUGUCCAUCACACUGGUAUCCAAGCACUAAUGAAUACAAAUAUUAUUUAUGUAACAACAGUUUGGCAACCUACAAGAGGAAGACAAGCACAUGCAUUCAGAUCUUGUUAUGAGAAAAUUCAGUUUUUGGAAAAAAAUAGUAAAAUAAAAUAGAAGUAAGAGAAACAAAAGAUUUCCUAAUGAAAUUUAGUCAAUAAUAUUAAUCUACUGACCUGAUAGUAUAAAUUGACAGAUGUAAUUAUAUUUAAUAAUGUAUUUCCUCAGUCAUAGCACUGAAAAGCAUAAUGCAAAUAUCAGAAUUCACUGAACUUCUGUUCUUGAAGAAUAAUCCACAUCUGCAUAUAUAUAUACACUCAGACAUCAACAGGGAUAAUUUGCAAAUCAAAAUAGAGAUAUAUAUAUACAUUUUAGAUUUUGAAAAUAUCCAAAAUGACUUUGUUCUGAAACAAAAUAUUAAAGAGGACAUUGGGGAAGAGAAUGAGGAUUUAGUUAGCGGCCCAGAGUUUUAAUUACAGGUUCUGCAGCAAUAGUUUUGGGUCCUUUGGGUCUAGCAAGAGACACAAUGACUGACGACAAAUAGCAACUACAGAUGGAACUUCAGUCUUACGGGCUAAUACUCAAUCUUUCUGUGAAAGGAACAAUACUUCCAGAGAAGGAGAAACAGUUCAUCUUCUACAUUCUGCUUUCAAGAGCCUCUACAAAGUGAAGUGGAGAAGUGGCUGGUGGCUUAAAUGGAGAAGCAAGAAAUGGAAAAAGAAUGAAGUUUAGUUUAAGUGUGGGGCUGCCAUAGAAACUAUCCAGGCCAGCUGAAGAGAUACUAUUUGCUUUGUAUGGGUAAUUGGCUGAUAUAGAUUUCUUUUUAAAAUUGAGCCAAAUGCUGAAGUCAGUGGCAGUUCUCCAAGCAACGCACUUGAUACAGGAAAAGGAAAGAAAGAAAAAAAACUAUCACCUUUCUCUUACUGGUAUAUACAGAAAACAGGGUUGAAAUUGUGGUCAAAAUUGAAGUCAGUGGGAAAUGUGCCACUGAUUUUGAUGGAGCCGGACUCCACCCCAGAUGUUUUCUUUUCUAUUUUCAGUUGCAGAUAAAUUUGGCUACCACUAAUCAGCCGUCCUGUAUUUUUUAUGGUGUUUUUCAGUCUCCAUAGCUAUGUCUAUAUUAGGUAAUUUUUGCUAAAAUUUCUCAGCAUUGCUUCUGCCUGUCCAGUACCAAUCUAAGGUUAGAGCAGGGCUGGUCUCUCUAGCUGUUUAUAUCUGUUGGUGUCUUAAACGCUGUCAUUUAACUGUGCACAGUGCUAGCCAGUGUUAUUUAUUUGUUGUUUCAGAGAAACAUCUGUAUCUAAGUUCACUAAUUUUACCAUUUGGUUAGCUUGACUGUGAUUUACAAUACUCAGAGCUCUUAUAGCUUUUACUUCCAGUGAAGCUAAUGACCUAAGACAUAGUAAUUGCUUGGCACAAACCUCUACUCACCUGUCAUUUUAGUUGUCCGUAUUACAUGAACUGUAUAGAUGCAGGGGAGUAAAGGAGUAUUUAAAGCCACAUCAGCUUCUUUUACACAGAUUGCAAAAAUACUGCCUUAGAGAAAGAAUAUACAGUCUCUUUUGCACUAUAAAAUUUGCUCCAGUGAUCUAGAAUUUACUCUAAGCUCUACCAAUUUUGAGUGAUGUGAACAGUGCUUGUUCAUCUCAAGGGACUGUUAAUUUUAAAACCCGAAGAAUGUCACUAAAAUGUCAGCUUUGUCAAAUAAUUCUUUAUUAAUUUGCAUAGCAGAAGUAGUCAAUUAUUUUCUUCAUCCGUCAUUUCAAACAGAUAAAUAUUUGGCUGGAGGGCCACUAAGGCUACUAACUACUGCCAAGCGAAGAAGCAGAUCAUAUUCCAAAAUAUCUCUAAUAUCCCCUACCCACUAGAGAAGAAGAGCAAUACCAGACCAAAUCUGUACUAGCUGAUGCUUUCUAAAGCUCAGACUGCUUUUUUGACUUCCAGAUUCUUCAGUUCUCCAUGAAUCUCCUUGCAAAUAGCCAAGUGUCUCAUGACCUCUGCUCCUUUCAGCUGUUGUAGGGAAGUUCUGAAAACAAAUGUAGAGUAUUGAUUGUUGGAGAUUCAAGGAGAUUCAGUAUAGAAAAGUACUGAGGACUGUGUGAAAAGAAUUAGUCCAGACAUUACUGGACAUACAUUUCUCAGAAAACAUGUAUUACUUCCUUAAAUCAACAGGAACCACAUAGUAUGUAUCAAAUAGAUGAAUUCCAAAAUUGGCUAUUAUCAGGGUCAACCAUUUUUUAACAUUGAGGCUCCUUUUUUUUUCCUGUUGAAGUCCAAGUUCAGAAUUCUUGUAAGACCUCACUGCCUGUGCUGAGGAGAAACCUCAUUUCCCCAAGUGAAGGUAAUUCUACAUUUUCCAUAAGGGAGAGAAACCAUAAAGCAGCCCAUCUGACAACCACUGAGAUCCCAGCAAUCUGCAGGCCUCUGCAGAAAUGUGCUUUUGCCUACACUGGCUGCUGGAACCCUGGUUAUUUCACUGAUAGGCCACUUUGCCACUGAGGUUUUCUGCUAAGGCCAAACUGGAAUGGGACUUGGAAAGGGGUGCAAAGAAGAAUAAGAAAGUCUCCUACAGGUACAUCAACCAGAAAAGGAAAGUCGAAGGUGUACCUCCCCUAGUGAGCGGUACAGGCUAGCUAGUAACAAUGGACAAGGAGAAGGCUGAGGUACUCAGCAACUUUUUGCCUCAGUCUUCACUGGCAACUGCUCUUCACACACCCCUUGAGCAGAUGGGUCAGAAAGUGGGGACUGGGGGAGCAAUGUCCCUCCCACUGUAAGUGAAGAUCAAGUGAGUGACCACCUGACGAACCUGAACAUUCAUAAGUACAUGGAUCCCAACAGGAUGCAUCCCUGAGUCCUAGGGGAAUUGGCUGAUGAAGCCACCAAGUCAGUCUCAGUGAUACUUGAUAUUUGGAAAGUCACAGAGGUCAGGUGAAGUACCUGGUGACUGGAAAAAAGGCAACUCAGGUAACUACCGAACUGUCAGCCUCACCUCUGUGCCAGGCAAAAUUGUGAAACAGAUAGAGCCUCCUGGAAGCUAUGCUAAAACACACUGAAGAGAGGGAGGUGAUAAGAGACAACCAGCAUGGCUUCACAAAGGGCAAGUCCUGCCUGACCAACUUUGAGGGUACUGGUAGAUAGCAAGCUGAACGUGAGCCAGCAACGUGCCCUUGAAGCCCAGAAAGCCAACCGUAUCCUCGGCUGCAUCAAAAGAAGCGUGGCCGGCAGGCUGAGGGAGGUGAUCCUGCCUCUCUGCUCUACACUGGUGAGGCCUCACCUGGAGUAGUAUUGUGUCCAGGUGUAGAGUCCUCAGUACAGGAGGGACAUGGACCUGUUGGAGCACAUCCAGAGGAGGGCCACAAAAAAGAUCCAAGGGUUGGAACGCCGUCCCUAUAAGGACAGGCUGAGAGAGCUGGGGGUGUUCAGCUCAGAGAAGAGAAGGCUCCGGGAGACCUGAGAGCAGCCUUUCAGUAUCUAAAGUGGAGCUAUAAAGAAAGAAGGAGAUAAACUCUUUGAAGAGUGAAGAUAGGACAAGGGGAAAUGGUCCUUGAUAGGACAAGGGGAAAUGGUUUCAAACUAAAAGAGGCAAGAUUUAGACUGGAUCUAAGACAAAAGUUAUUUAUGAUAAGGGUAGUGAAGCACUGGAACAGGUUAACCAGAGAGGUAGUGGAUACCCUGUCCCUGAAGACAUUCAAGGUCAGGCUGGAUGGGGAUCAGAGCAAACUGAUGUAGCUGUAGGUGUCCCUGUUCACUGCAGGGGGGUUGGACUAGAUAAUCUUUGAACUUUAAACAUCACUUCAAACUCAAAUGAUUCUGUGAUUCGAUGAUUCUCUGAUAUUGAAAGUCUGGGUAUACUUGGAGGCUGGAUCUCAGACUCUCUGAAAGGAAAGAUGCAUCUGCAUGCACGUUGAUGUGAUUGAAAAGUAAGCCUGCAAAAAGGUUGUUCUUUGAACAGAAUAUAUAUUGAAGCAACAAAAAAAGAAACAUUUCAGUCUUGAAGAUCUCCUUCAAGUUCCCAAAUCAAUCUUUCAUUGCUCUGAGCUCUAGAAUAAAACACAGUUAAAUACCUGAGACAAAAAAAAAAAAAAAAAAAAGCAAAUAAUUGAACUGUUUUGCAGAUUAAUUAUAGAAAUACGUCAACUUAUGGAUGUCAAGAGACUAAUGGAAGUGAACAGUGGCAGUGGCAUGUUUUAAUGUUUUAAUCUCUUCUAAUGGACUCUUUAACAUUCAGAAAUCUUGCCAUAUUGAUCAUACAAUUCAAAUUGGAUAAAGAGGCAAUACAGAUUUGUAGCCACAUUCUAUCCUCAUCACUCCUGACAGUACUCCCAGCUUAUUAAAAACAACAUUGAAACUGCACAUUGGUUUCCCUUGUGGCUUAAUUUUCAUUAUUCACUGAACUCCUUUUUGCUAGAAACUGACUGAAGAGCCAGAUUCUGAGCUCAUUGUUUGUUUUUUUUUGCUGACUACAAUGAACAGCCUUCUCACUUUCCAAUCCUAGCAGUUCUAUACACUCAAAACAGUUGCAACCACCAACUAACAAAAUAAAAGCAGGUCAGGGAUGGGGAGGCAGGAUGAGUGAAAAGAGCGUGUGUGUGCUUUUCAGAAAGAAUGAGACUGAAAAUUUAAAAAGGCUUGCUCAUAGCCUGUAGCAACAAAUGAUAUUCAUCAAGCACAGGAGAUAAGUGUCACAGUAUGGUACUCAAAACAGGAAAAAAAAAAAGUUUACAUAGUGUUACAGCUCCAGUAUGAAAAGUUGUAAUUCCUCAUAUAAGAAAUAAGAACCAUGAGCACUGGUGUCAAUAAAGAGAGUUUUUAGUCACAAGAAGUUCAUCCUGAUGAUGAAAGCAGGAAUGUUGUCUCUCUGCUUCUCUGUCUCAGUUUUCCUGAUGGAUCAAUAUGGUCUAAUUUGCCAGUGGUUCACUGGAAAUUACUCUUGUAAGAAGCCCAGACCUCACUUUUCAGAGGUGGAGUGACUUAAGAUGACUGUCACCUACAUCCUCCCAAGCCCGGAUUCCUUUGAAUCAGAAAAGUAAAAGACUGAAAAUCUAAUCAAGGCUUCUGACAACUCCCUCAUGGGCCUUGGAUCUCUGCCAUGUCUCAAGUCCUCCCCAGUAAGCUUCUCCAUGGUUUCCUCUAAGAUCUGUCCUACCCAAGACUUUGCUACAGGCUCACCGAGAUGCAGUCACACUGUGUUUGCAGCUGUAAGUGCGGCUGGUCCGCACACAAAAGCUACCUGUCAUUUAGCUAAUUCAGUCAUGUAACUUUAUUACCUUAUGGUUUUUUGGUUUAAUUGCUGCAAUGUUCUUCAACUUCUGGGGCACUUCUGCCUCUAGGUCUGCAGUUUACUUGUAAUGAUAGAAAACCACCAAGAAAAACAGGUUUCAUGUCAGUAGAUUCAAAUUUGCUCUUAAAGGGCUUCAAUGAAAAUGCUUUAUAGGAUAACGAAAUUAGCAUGAGCUAGAGCGUAUAAUCGGUUCUGACUUAGAGACUUAAAAUGGCUGGGCAAACAUGAUGGAGUUUUAAUUUCAUUUCCCAUUGCUUCUAAGACUUCCCACACAGAUCUUUCUGAUACCAUUUUUCAGGCAUCCUUUUGAAAUCAGUCUUAUUUUACUGGAUAACCACACACAGACAUAAUCUCUGCUUUAGGGGCCAACGGUAUUAGACUCUAAUCCAAAAAAUGUCCCCUGAUCAACUCCACCAUGAAACAAACAUAUUUGAAUUUAGUCAGGAACUACUCUAUAUGCAAAAAAGCAAGCUCCAUGAAAACAGGCUAUGAAGACUGUUUGACAGCAUUGAGUGUUUAUGUUUUCUUAUGUUUCUGACUGAGGGAAUACUGUGUGGAACAUUCUCAUUGUAUAUUCCCACUACCAUUACCCUGAAUUUACAGGUUGUGUGUUUCUCAUGCCAGCAGUACAUAAAUUACCCAAUACUGGCCACAAUGUCAUGUAUUUUUCAGCAUGGUCUGUUAGAUUAUCUUCCACGCCUUUUUAAAUAAGAGAAAAAGCAGGAUGCAUUUCGUACAAUGACCUUAUUGAGAAACUGUGAGCUUGAUCCAGUUUUCAUCAAGAUUAACAGAAAAACUCCCAGUUUUUCAAGGACUGUUGGUUUGGACAAGCCAUGGCCAGGUUCUUCAUGCUUCCGAGCCAUUCUUCUUGCCAACCAGGUGUCUUACAGUUAGACAAGUGUAACCAUGACUGCACCUGACCCAAUAAAUCCUGCUUAAUUUGUAAGCCAGAUCCAACCUUUAGUCCAGAAAUGAAGUCAUCCCUUGGAGCAGACAAAUCAAAAAUUGUGAAGCACUUAAAAAUGGUAAUUGCUCUGGAUUAGCCACUUGGCUUCAUUGUGUAUAUUGUAUUUCAUAUUUAAGCAAACAUUUUUCACAGCUUAUAUUAUGAACUAUCUUGCUGUAGACAUGCAGGGUGAUAAAUAUGAUUGCAGUAUCAUUAAAAAUCAACUCUAACAUUUCUGGAUUCCCAAGGUUGUUUUUUCAUCGCUGAUUAUUUGGUUUUGGUUUUUUGUUUGUUUUUGAUUUUAGUGGAUGGCAGUACUGUUUUCUAUGUUUAGUUUCUUUCUUUCAGCUGUUUUGUUGAUGUAUAAAAAUACUUGUCUUUAUUCAUUUUUUUGUAUUCUGUUUUUCCCAGUCCUAUGGUAGCUGCUUGGUUUGGUGUUUAUUUCAUCCACCAGAAAAUACUCAUCAUAGAAAUGCAAAGGCAGUGUGACAGCAAGCUUCUCUUUGGGCAUGUUGACAUCAUCCUCUUCUCUGAGCUCUAAUUCAACUUUCAACACAAUGCCUAAAACCGCACAGCCUCUGGGCACAAAAGAACAACACGAGAGUACACUUGUGCAUUCUGUUGCCCUGUAAGCAAAUUGCUUGUUAAUGAGGAAUCAGCCAGAUAAUGGGUUCGAUAGUCUGUGCUUUGAUUAGGUAAUAUGAAGUGCAGAAGUGUUUUUUGGUGUAUCAGAGACAGCACAGUCUGUUCAAAGUUCAAGGCUAUGAAAGUCAUUGAGUCACUCUUCAACAUCACUCAUAAGAAAAGACAAGAUGCUGCUAUUUCACGUGUAGUAACUACUCUUUGGAUGAAAUGAGAAAGCUAUGAUUUUUUAACUUUGUUGACAGUCCAGAUUGGAGCUGCACUUUGCCAAGAGCAAGUAUAAAGAUAACUCAUUAAAUAUACCUCAUUAAAGAUAACUCUUGCCUUCAGGUGCCUAUCUGUGUUUACACGGACUGUGCCUGGAAGGAGUAGAGGCUUUCACACAAUAGAUAAAGAAAAGAAAACCUCUGUGAAUAUAACCGUGCAAAUAAAAUUUCUGUAAUGUGAACACUGCUUCCCCUGCUCACGAUAGUAAAAGAUCAGUGCAUGCACACAGAGAGCCCCUGCAGAUGGGAUAACAUGCUGGAAAUUGCUGUUCCCCUGCUAUUUGUUUGUGUAUCACUCAUACAAAUGAGUUGUAUUUUAACUGUCCCGGGAAGGAACAAGCCAACCAACAAACUUUUUAUUCCUGGGCACUCCAAGGUAUGCUCCAUAAUGUUGCUGGUUGUCUGUUUGAGCUCUGCAUUUCAGCAGCUGAAAGUUGAUGAUAGAGAGGAGGAAAAAGGCAUCAAUAUUUCUAUAGUUUUCCUUUCCAAGCUAAAUAGCUUGGAUGAGAGAAGCAGGAACAUAACUGAAUCACCCAGACAAUCUUUUCUUUGAAGUGGUGGGGUUGGGAGGUUAAAAGAUUUUUAUAAAUAUUAAAUAAUUAAAAUAGGAAGUAUUAGUCCACGUGUUUGACAGGAAGGCUGUAAUUGUCCUCUGUUCUGUAUCACAUAAAAUACCAUAAUAUGGACAUUUUAUGUUAUCUGCCCUUUUCCUGUAGAACUAGUACAUUCUCUUCUAAUCACUAUGUCCCAUCUGGUACAUUGUUCAAAUACAAGCCAAAGUAUCUAAUCACUUGCAAUCUCACAUAAACAAAAACAAUGUGAAGAAGUACACCACAAAAAUCUCCUCGUUGUCUUCUAAGAUCCUGCUUGCUUUACUGUGACAUGACAGAGCCCAUCAAAUGAGAAAGCUCAGCUUCCUCACUGGGAUCAGAAGACUAUCUGCCUGUGGAAGACAGACUUCCACUGUCUUCCACAGGCAGCUCUCCAUCAUCCCCACCACGUUUUCUGUAGUGGUGGAUGCAUCUGGGCAAAUACUGAUAGGACUCUACUUUUUGUGAUCUAGCAGUCAGCUAGUGCUAUCUAUCUGCUGGAUAUAAGAACACUGUCUAUACUACAGACCCACAAUCUAUCCUUUACUGCUUUUGAAUUCCCUCAUUUUGACAGAAGAAUGGUCCAAUGUUGGCACAUAUGGUCAAUCAGCUUCAGGGUGGCUGUUCUGAACUGUAAUAGCUGCUGACAGUCUUCAAGACACGGGUAUAUCAGGCCAAGGACAGCUGGUCAGCAGCAGUCCUGGCCAUAUUCACUCUUCUGCUGACUUCACAUGGUCUGUAGUUAUGACAUGGACAGAAUACAAGUUCUUCAUAAAUUCUGUGUCUAGGUACAGCUUCAUAAAUUGUAUGCCUGUAGGGCACUUUGCAUGCCAUAGAAGUACCCAUAUAAUCACCAGGUCUUUCUGCUGCAGUGACAGGACAGCAAAAGGAUCUCAUCCUGGCCAUUUACGUAGGUUAAUUUGUUUUAAACGGACUAUGUAAAAAACCUAACUAUUCUCUCUGUCUUUUUAAGUGCCUAGUUUCUGUAAUGCAGUUGACCUCAGAGAUUCAGCGUUGCUUCUACUGUAAUUUGAAUGAGAAGUAAGUUGCUCUCAAGAUUGAGUCUAAGCAGAACGCUUUUUUGAUAAAAUAAUCUUUGUAAAAUCCACUGUGCUGCAUGGAGCCAGGAGCUAGCUGCUAGUUCUCUUUUUUUUUGUUCGCUUUCAAUAGACUGUUUCAGCAUGCUGAAAGAAUAGGACUUGGGCUCCCCAACGGAUAUUAGUUAUGGCUGCGUUCUUCCUUUCACCAGAAACACAAACCACACAAUCCUUACAGCAAUCAGCACAAAACACAUCAUGUUAAAUCCCUUAUUUCUGUAGCAUAAUAUAAAGUCUCUCUUUCUCUCAUAUUACCAUUCUGGUGAGUCAGGUAUGUGAGCUUUUCUAGGCAACAGGUGUUUUCUGAAAUAAAAUACAACCUUCCCUUCAGCUAAUUAUGUGGCAGAGACAGCAGCUGCAAGUAUAAUGCUGAGGACACAUGGUCUAUAAGACACCCAGAAGAAAAAUACUCCUUGUUCCACUUGUUAAGGUAAAGCACAGAUGUUGCUACUGUGAUAAGUAUGAGCAUAAGGCAACCACAGUCUGCUUCAUGCUGUACAUUCAGAAUCUAAGAUUUCAGAAUAUUUAAUAGGCUGCAAUCAGAAUCACCAGUUUCUUUAUGUAAAGGAAAGUUGUUUAUGUCUAAUCUAAUAGUCCUAACAUACCACAGUUUGCAUUACACUAUCAUCAGCAAUAUGCCGGAGACUAUCCACAGACUUGAGAGAUAGAUUAUAAAUAUUUUUGUAUAUGGACUCAGUGAUAAGUGUCAAACGUGUAAAUUAAUAUGCUUACUGAUUUAAACAUUUACAGGUACUGUAAAUUAAAACAAAAAACAACAAAGAACUACACAAACAUUCAAGUCAUUUAGAAAGUUAAAUGCAAACUUUCUUAUUGCUUAGUGUUGGGGUGCAGUACUGUGGCUAUUGCUAGCUAUCAGUUUUAGACUGUUGAGAAAUCAACUGCAAAAUAAUGGUGCCUAAAGAUCUUUAUGGACAAAAGUAGAACAGAUCCUUUCCAGGGAUCAAUUCCCUGCUGACUUAGAGGUAUACUUCUUUUUCUCAGUUUGUUAUUUUUUCCCUUAUUUAUUUUAAGAGCUAAGUACAUAUAUAGUAUCUUAUACUAUAACUGUUAAGGUGAAGAGACUGUCAAAUUAAACAGAAGCCUGGCAUUUUUCUAAAAGCAUGAGGAUCCUCAAGAAUCAUCUGAUCUCCUACUCCCUCUAGUAUUUUAGGCCUAACUAGGUCAGAAUCUCUACCCUGUUAACAAGAACAUAUAGUAUGACAGAAAAAGCACGGUUCACAGAAAAAUCCCAGAGCUCUCGCUCUGUGAACAGACAAUUGGCUGUCUUACAAAGUAUUUAUUAUCUCCUUUCAAUCCCACUAUCCUGUAGAACUGCAUGCUUUUCUGGCUACAGGGUUUUUUUUUUCUAUGUGGAGCAGCAGCUGCAAGGAAUUGGGGAAUGAUUAACACACGUGGAGAAAGGCCUGACUGCAAGGAUCUACCAGAUAAAGUCAAUAGCUUCACACUCCUUCAGAUCAAGCUCAAAGUGACCUUAGCUCUUCUGUGUGUGAUUUCUUGGCAAAACAGGUAUUGAUAAGCUGUUGUAAACUGCAGUGAAAUGAGCCCAUUUUUUUCAUUCCGUCACUACCAAAUUUAGAGAAGACAGUAUUAAAAAAUAAAAUGAAACAAGCAAACUCUGAUCACAAGGUUACAAACUGGUUUCAUCGUGAAAAUACCAUUGUAAUUACUUGCUAUGACAUAUAUGGUAAAAAAGAGAUACUUAAAUGUCUCAUGUGCCCAUCUUUUAGUUUUCUAUGUUGUUCCAAAUGAAAGAGAUACGAGUUAAAAAAAAAAAAAAGAGAGCCAAAGCUCUACAUUAAUUUGUAUGAUGAUACAGAUGCUUAGAAGAUACAUCCAUGAGAUGUUACCACUGCUCUGACCCACCUUUCUUCCCAUUGUUUCUCAGUUGCUGACACUUGUUCUUAAUUAUGUUCCUGUCCUGCAAAGAGCUUAGGAUACAACAGGACAAUUCAACUUGCACCUGAGAAUAUUUAGAGGUUUUAUUUAUUAUAGUGUUUGAUCUUGGGUGUUAUAGAAGAAAAGUCUCUUCUCAUGAAUGCAAAAGCCCUUCCCCAACCAAAUGGCCCCAGUGUGUUAUACUAUAUUACCAAGAACUAAUAAUUCAGAGAACUGCUAUUAAAAUUCUCCUCUACUCAGCCAUCAAAGCUGAUCACAUAGCUUCCAAGACUUGUACAUUUAUAUUAUGGGCAGAAAAUUUGAGUAAUACUCACGUGUGUCUUCACAUCACCUUCAAGAAUCUUGCUAUACCUGAGAAACUCAGCAACGCUUCCAUUCAGCAGCCUAUCAAAGGCCUCCACGUAUGGAGCUAUGCCUAUAGAAGAAGAGCAUUCCAUUAUAAUGGAUCCAUAUAGUAAACAAAGUAUAGGACUUCCCUGUGUAGCACAUGGACGGGGAAUAACAAAGAAACGGGGGAAACUGCUGUAAUUUAAUUUCUGCUGUAUUCGUUGAUUUGUGAAAUCAGUGAAAAAGGAUGCAUUAUAUAUAUAUUUUUUUAAUUGCUAGAAGGGAAAAAUACCGCUCCUGGUAAAACUUGUCAAGGAGCACAAAGAGAUUUUACUUUGCAUACUGUGGGAUGCCUCUUUUGUAUUAAAAUAACAGGUGCUGAAGUAAACAUCUCUCAGCCUUUCAAAAGCAGAACGGCGCAACAAGGAUGGUUGUCUUAACAAAGUUCUAUUACUGUACAUAAAGCAAAUAUUACUCCCUAAAAAGAAUCUGCACCAUGCUGAACAACUGUUUUCAUGCUAUCCACCCACUCCUGAAGAUCUCCGUUAUUGUUUGGUGGCCAUUAAUAACACGUAAUUAAAUUUCCAGCAUUUAGAAUUUACUGACAGUCAAUUUAGGCAGUGAGAUGUGGCACUGUAAUCUCCUUAUUUUGUUGUGUGACCGUACAAAACAGUCAUUGGAGAAAGAAGGCCCAAACAAAUCUUCCAGAUGACACAUCCCUCUGACUAUUUAUGUGGUAUAUAUAUUCCGCCUGAAAAACAGAAAUAUUGUGUUCUAUAUGGUAUAAAGAGCUAUUUUCUGAUGAAGUGGGCAAUCAGAAGACCGAGGUGGGACUCAAUUUCUCACAUAACUGGCUUUCUACAUCACUUUAUGUGAUACCCUUUAAGAUGGCAAAAUUACUCUUUCCUUCAGUGUUUUCCAGCCCUCUCCUUCCUCCCUAACGUAUCCUCCUGUCUUGUUGGUGCAUCAGAACUUUCAUUAGGUCCAGCAUGAGCAACGCAUAUGUGAAUUUAUGGCAUCUGUAGUAUCUGAGAGACCGUGCUUAAAAUUCUUUCUCCUCUCUGCCUGGAGACUGCUCUGAAGAGGUACCAGGCUUUCUUCAGAAAGUUUGCUUUAACCUUUUGGCAUUAUAUGACAAUUGUGUCCAAAUUCAUAAUCUUGAAAGCCCUUUUUACUUCCUAAGAGUCAUCUGGCUCCUCGACAGAAAAAAAGAAGGGCUUUGGUAAUGGGAAUUUGCAAUGGCCUGUGUGGAAAAAAAAGAUGUAGUUAGACAACGAGGCGGGAUUUCAAGGCUUCUUUUGUUCUCUUGAUGUCACUCACCUUUAAUUCUGAGGAAUUUCUGGGCUUUCUUCCAUAUUCAGUGCUUGUGUGUAAACCCCUCAAAUGACCCAGGGUACAAAAGGUUUUAGUUGUAGAGAUGCUUUCCAAAGCCUAUUUAUGUUCUUUGUUGAAAUCUCUGUGCGUCUCCAAGAGAAUCAUUGUAACCUUUUACUUUAGAGCACACUUUUAAAUAGCAGUUCACCAAAUGGCAUUUGCGCUAUGCAAAACUAGAAAGCGACUAUGCUAUUUUUUACUAUUCAAUACAGCUAACUCCCAGGAGCAUUUACUAGAGUGUGCUGUGAGUUGUGCAGAGCAAUUGAAUGAUUUGUUUGCAAUCCCAUUGUUGUAGUGCCAUUUAGGAAAAAAGUAAAGCACAGUACAUUCCUCCCAUGUUCCCCACUAUUUUGUUGUUUCCAAAAAAACCUAAAUAAAAAAACUCAAGCUUGUUUUUUUGGGAUAGUUCUAGUUAUGGAAUGGUCAUUUAGGGGGAGAGGGCAUGGUAGAAGAAAGCAAUGUAUCUCCCUUUCCACAAGGGACUUUAAAAGUGUCACAUUCUUUGGCAGAGCAUCGGUUUUAAAGUAGAAAAAGAGACUUGUUCUGCAAGACUGUCAGCUCUGCAAUUGUUGUGGAGACUUAUGGGAGCCUCUGCAAAGUACCAAGAGCAUGCAGAAUUAUGUUUGUGGCACUGUUUGUACAUCAGUCAUCCCAAGUGAAAAACGGAUACAGUCUGUCCUAACUGCAUCAGCAAAAGCUGAUUCCUGAGUCCCGAUGUGAGCCAGCUCAGCCUGGGCAGCUCCCCAUGGUGCUGCUCAUAUCAGUUUCUUGCUGCUGCUUCUCCCAGCAGGUGUGGUUUACAAUCUCACUCAUACAACACUUGUCAGUCAGUUUCUUCUGAGGACCUGCUGAGGGUUUUUAAGGCUCUGUUUCCCUGGGGGGUGAGGCUCUUUACCUUUCUUCAAUUCGUAGGGUAGGCUAAGGAUAUGCUGAUUUUCAUGGGGGUGAAUUGAUCUCCUUUUGUAAAACCAGCCCUCAUUCUGCAGCUCUAAGGUUUGUGUUCAUAGAGACUUACCCAAAUUGAUUCAUUAUAGGGUGGAAGCUAAUGUUUUUGAAAAACGUAUAGUUCUUAGUAGCCAUCCAUUUAUUUGUCAUCUUGUACAUGGGUCAUAUUUCUCCAUUACUUUGCUAAGCUUUACUAGCUGUCUGGAUUUUCUCCACAGUGUACACAUUUUAUUACUGAAGCUCACUCUGACCAGCUAAGUCCCCUGCUCUGGAAGCCUGCUGGAAGAUUCUCCCUUCCUGCCACAGAAACAUACUGCUUUCAGUCAGCUGCUCCACAGCAACUGCUGGCAUUUAGGCCUAUAGCAUGUGUACCUACAUGUGUUGUUGGAUAAGGGCUGGCGUACAGUUACAACAAAGCAGCUGACAUCAUACAGUAACUUGCUUCUGUCAAUAAAGGAGCUGCCCACAACUUUCUACUUUUUCUGCAGCAUUCUGUAAACCAAGUGCAUGAUAGGCUGUGCUCUCCCACGAAGAAGGUAGGGAAGGGCUAAGGAAUGUGCAAAGCAAGCGAUGUGGAGAUUAGACAGGGAUAUAUGCAGGGAUUCUGGGUUGAAAAAAACCAAAACAACAGCUCUUGAGAAAGGAAAUACUUCUAUUAAAUCAGCAUCAGUACUACCACAUCUGUAAGGUUGUUUAUCCUAUAAAUUGCAAGAACAACAACAACAAAAAAUUAAGGGGUGGAAAAAAAUGAUUUGGCAGUGUGAGGUGGAUAAAUGAGGUCAGGUUUUUUUUUCAUGUAUUUCCACUUAGUGCUUUGGAGAUCCACUUGAGAAGGGAGAGCUCAAGAGCAAUAAAAGUAAGGCCAAGGAUGUGUGGCAGAUCUCAGCGAGCAAGUGCUUAUGAACAAACUCAUAUUUGAUGAAGGAUAUUAAUCAAUUAAAUCAUGGUGCGUUACAUGGAAUUCAGAGAGCUGGAAAAUAGACUCAGUUUGUGUGUUACAUGGAAUUCAGAAAAUAGACUCAGUUUUUAUACUGCUGACUUCUUUAGGAAUAUUCAUGCUGUGUAUUUUUGGGACGUCUCAUUUCUUCUGCUAACUGGGCUCAAGGAGAUGUUCUCAUCUGGUGAGUUAUCUACAACAAUAUAAAUGCUAAAAUCGAAAGAGCAAUAAAGCUUGAAAUGUGGACCACAUAGGUAAGAGAUAUGACUAAUACUGAAUUUUCUAGGCCGUAUAUGUUUAUAAUCAUGCUUAGAAGACAAACACACGCUAGGUUUCUAAUUACAGAAAGAGGUAGUACUUAAAAAAAAAAAAAAAAAAAGACUUACUUCCAUUGACCCCGUUCAUUGCAUCGCACUCCAUUCCACCAGAUCUCUGGGAAUCUGAAAAUAAUGAUUCAAGUCGAGUCACUGCUUUCUCCAAUCUCUCCAUCAAGCCAUGAUUCUCUGCCAUUCUAAAAAAGUCAUUCGGGAGACAGCAUUAGACCCCUUUGAGAACGCCCAUGUUUUACCUCAUGUUCUACUCAUCUUAUGGCUUUAUCAACGUUUAUGGUAAAAGCUCCUUUUCUUAACUAUUGUCUUUCUGGCUGUAGUGAAGCAGCUGACAAACGAUAACUUACUUCUUUAUCAGCAAGAAAUCUGAUCAGUGCUCAGCCUUUGGUUUUCACUGUAAAUGGAUACAAGUCACUGCUGGUGUAGCUUUGGGCAGUCUGUAUUUGGACAGUUUGUGAAAUCCAUAUAAAUGUAAUUGGUAGAAACGUAUGCCUGCAGUGAUUUGCAUCAGUGAGUUCCUGAGGCAAAAAUACAGAUUCGAUUAAUACUUGACUAAAAGCCAGACUUUAAAUGCCUACCUCCUGAUUUUUCUAAAGAUAUAUGCUGAAAUCUGCCUGGGUCUUCUAGGCUUUGUAGUAAGGCUCAACCACUUUACUGAGUGACUAUUGUGAAGAGGCAAUAUGUUUGUUCUUCUGAUGUGAUUUCCCAUCUUUUAAUUAUUUUUCUUUUUCUUCUGAAUGCACCUGAUGUGAAUGAGUGCAUCCCAAGCUUUUCAAAACAAGCACUGAUUAACAUUUGGAAAGAAAAAAACCAGGAGCCUACUUGCACAGUACUGCAACAGUGCUUUUGAUGUAAAAUGAAAUAGAAAUUGGGCUACAUUUUGAACAAUUCGCACCUCAUUUCAUUUCUUCAUGGAGUGAUUAUCUGUUUUCUUACAUGCGGGGAAGUGUAGGCACUGACAUUUUUGAACGCUGGCCAAUGUCUCAGGGAACACUGUGCUCUAUACACUACAGACUAAGAAACAGUUACAUAAGCAAAGACAAAGCUAUGUUUAAAUCCCCCGUUGUUUAAUAUAACAAGCGCUCCUAACUUAAGGUUGUGCGUCUUUUAUUCUGAGUGACAUACAGUAAGGGAGCUGGUGGUGAUCUAUGGCUCUUGGUUAAAACAUGAUCCACGUGAGCUCAAGCAGAGCUCCCACACGAUGGCUUAUAUCCCCUACCCUAUGCAAUAUUUUCCUAGCGAGCAAAACAAAUAAUGCUGUUUCACUGUUCCCUUGCCCUGGGGAGAAAGUCUGAAUUCUUUUAUUAAAAAGUAGAGUAAUAUGAAAGGAAGGGCUUCCGAUUUAAAAAUCAGUAUUAAUAAUCCUUAUAAUCAUUCUUAUUUUGAAAAUUUAAGUGUGAGAGAAGCUAUGAGGAUGGUGGGAGCACAUGCUGAGCUCUCAUGCUGAGUCAUGCUGUCUGUCAAACAAGGUGGGGCUUCCAGGCUUUACCCUAUAAAUAUAAAGAGAUUUGUGUUUGACCUAUGAGUGAAACAGAAGAUUUUACAAUGCGAAAGCCUUGGGAGGACCAUUCUCAUGAGAAAGUUCUGUCUGGAGAUUAUGUGUUGUUUUUUUCUUUUCUUUUUCCCUAUUUACAUUAAAUAAAAAAGCAAAGCCCUAAAAGAGGAUGACAUGAAACAAUGUGCAUAUAAGCGCUGUCCAAACUUCGGGGUGGGUGGGGGGAGGGGGAUGGUCUCUUCUGCAUGUAUUUAAAAUAUACACUAUUCUGUUUGAAAAAUCAAUGAAUUCUCCAAAACAAAAACAAAAAACCUUUAACAUUUGCAAGUUUCCAAGUAUCUUGGCAGGGGUAAUAUGAAGGUGUCAGGAGAGCUUCUGAAAUGUGCAAAUAUUUCUGAGAAUAUCAAAGUUUUCCUUAAAACAAAGCACUCUUAUUCCUCAAAAGUAUUACGGGCGCAUUCCUUUCACAUUCUACUCUACUACCUAAAAGCCUCAAAACGUGCUUGUUUUAAAAGUUAUGUUUUAGAACAGUUUAAAGUCUGGAUGGUCUAUCUGAAGCUUAGUAACAGUCAAUUCUUCUCAUCAGCAUUUUAAAGUAUAUUUCCAGUACAUUUCCUAUUUGUCUCUACUUGAAGACACGGUCUGGUAGGUAACUAUAUUUGUUUCCAUCUGCUCCAAAAUUUUCAUUGAUGAAAAGUAGAACAUUUAUUUGGAAGAGUGGCUCCUUUUUGUCUCUUUAGCCUGAUUUUGCCUGUUGAAGGAUUCGGUUCUGAUUUGACUACGCACAGUUGGGGGAAUCUUCCAAACAAACAGCAGUGGAUCAGACUUGUAAUGUUCUGCCCAAGAAAUUGGCCCCGGUAAGACGCUAAAAAUAUGGAUUAUGGGGUCAGAAGCUCAAGGGAAUAACCCACUGACCCUGCGGACAUUUCUAGGCAAUAUUUCCCAACAGCAACACAGUCUUAUGUUCACAAUAUUCUUCACAGUUUUAUUCAGUUCCAAAAAGCUGUAAGACUACUGUGUUGUUCUAAAGUCAGAUAUCAACAGUGGGACAAUUACAGAAUAAUAUAUUGUUCUAAUUUCUUUAGACAGAAGUCAGAACUAUUUUUACCACACCUUCAGGGCUGCCAGGUUUCUCACUAUUUUUAAAAGAAAUGUAACUGUUAAGAACUGCUCAGUCAUUAUGAUUACAUGGUAUUUGUAUCUAUACUCAUAUACAUCUGUGCGCUUAAGUAUACAUUCAGGUACCCUGUCCUUUAUGAAGGAUGUACAAAUAUAAUUUUGCCGUUACUGUGUAAAACACUUCAAGAGUACAUCAGCUGUGCAUACAAUAACCUGAUAUAUACAUUUGCUUUACCAUCAGUCAGCUAGGUUUCUUACAAACAAGACUGAAAUUGAGCUACUGUUCUGAAGGAAAGACUCCACUGACGAACAGCACAACUCUCAAUCCAUUUUCAGUCUAAACAUUGGCAUCUUUGCCUAUACUUAGGCAUUCACAUAUCUGACUUAUAUUAUGACAACCUUCAUCAUUUUCUUGGUUUAUAUUCACAGUCCAUCUGAUAAGUUAUCAUUCCAUACUGCACUUUGCAAGGUCAAACUGAUACCACAAACCCAGAGCUCAAAAGAGCUCAGAGCACAAAUGGUAGAGCUUGACUCUGUGAAGAAGUCUGUGCAAUGUAGUAUUGAAGUUAAAUAAUUAUAAAUAAAAAUGAGACUGGUCUACUUACAGUGCCAAAUAAAAUCUUUGCAUCUUAAUAAAGAGGAUGUAAAUACAUCUGUGGGAUGCCUCUACUGCCAUGAAGCAAGAUUUUACAUCAAGACAGAUUCUCUAUCUUGUUUUCAGUGGGAUUUUAAUUAAAGCUCUGUUCUUGAUGUGGAUUAUUAGGGUUAUUCAUACACCUUUCUCAGGUUUGAUGCUGAUUACCUACAAGGAGUUAAAACCAAUAACACUUCAAGUCCAGUGUAAUCCUGGAUCCAGUUUUCUGGGUGGACAAGCAGAAUGUUCUUCACUGAACAUACAGUCAACUAAGAGCUAGGAACAAAUGAUUUAAAUUUUGGCAUUGCUCUAGUGCACAAAAAGUACAGAGGAUUCAUAGACCUGCCCUGUUUACUGUUAGUGGUAUCUUUUUGCGGGGUGCUAACGGCAUAUGACAAUACAACUGUCAAUCCUUUCUUCACUUAAAGAAGCAAAGAAGGACACACUGAAGACCAAAAAGCAGAUCUGUUUUUAUACACAGAACAGCACUGCUCUACUCCCCAAUUUGACACCUGUCUCAAAGCACCAUUUAUCCAUUAUCAAGGGAAAAAAACUUGUCUGUACACUAAAAAAUGAUGUGUUCAUCCCAAAUGGCAGUCAAACUGUAAGCCAAAACAUACAGGUACUAUGCUUGCUAUCAUUGCAUGUGACUUACGACAGAGGACCACAUUGUUCUGUCUCAGGAAGAUACAAGCUGUAACAAGGCCACAGGGAGGAACAGUGUAGUAGCAUAAGGGGCAAAAAUAAACAAAAGAGUUGAUUUGUCAGGCACAUAAAAAUGGCAGGUUGAAUGUAGGUGCCACUCUGUCAUGUAUGAUAUUCUGACAAAUAUCAUCAAAAGAUUCCAUGGUUUGUUUUAUUUCCUAGUACUCCUUUAAUUUAGAAGAAUAAAGAGGUGGGUUUUUUUUUAUUUUUUUCAUUUAUUUGUGUUUGUUGUUUUUUUCCUUCGCACCAGUCCUCCCACAUCUGUGACAUUAACUAGGUCUGAUUCAUUUUCAUCAGCUGAGAUGCUACAGGUUAGAUUUUGCUUUUCUUCUCUAUGCCAAAAAAGGGCAGUUACCUAUGACAGGCAAGAAUUUGUUAUUUUUAUUGCAUCUAACACUGCUACUCUGUUUGGAAAAACACAGUUUUAUUCUUGAAAGUACUGUAGCCUUUACAUGUGUCUCCUCUCAUAGUCUUUAAUAAAUUGCUACUGAGAUAUGCGAUAAACAAAACAUGCAAAUCCUCACACCACCAACUAGUACUAUCUUACAGCUAGUCACAAAUGCCUCAUAGAUUGAAAGUAUGGAAUCCUCAAAGAGUUCUAUACAAUGGAUAUCAAAGGAGGGGAAAUGCAUACACAUUCCUGAACAACCCGACAAAUUACAGAAGUAUAUUACAACACUUUAUAUAGUCAGCUUGAGCCAUAACAGGCUAGCUUUUCUGCACUGCCAUUCAGCUGUAUGUCCCAACUCCAAGCUGUGUGGAGCAUGCAGUCUUUUUGCUACCAUUGGCAUCAGACCCAAAUUCUUGCUCCACCCUAUUUUAGUCCAAAUGAUGAAAACCUAUUGGUUUGAGGGUCUCAGGGGCUGCUCAUUCCCAAGCAGAACUGAGAAGCAGGCUGUUACCAGAUGAAUGCACUGGAAUGCCGAGGGUGACCGCGGUGUGAAUUUUCUUCUGCUCCUUCAAUCUCUCUCUCAGCUAUGGACUUCAAGACUGAGGAUAUCUCAGUUUUACAUCCUGCUGCAAAAUGAAACUGCUGGUAUGGAUCCCCAGGGUCAUACGGGACCGGGCUGCUUAGGUGGAGGGGACGCGUCCCACACAACUUGACUCGGCUACAGCAUUCAGAACGUUACCGACAAGGAGAGCACAGUUACGGGCAUACGUUUUACCUGGUGAAGAGAGCAGUGGUCCAGUACCGGAACAGAAUUUCCUUGGCUUGGAAGGCAGAAAGGAAGAAUGCGUCAUCAGGAGUUGGAGGCCUCCUUGAACUGUAGCUCAGAAGUGUGGGACUAGUGUCAUUCAUACCAGCUGAGGACUGAGAGCUCCCCAGGAAUUUUCCUUAAAAUAAACCAAAAACCAACGCUGUCUUCAAUGGAGAGAUACACUGCAAAGAAAAUCGUAGCUGGCUGCAAAGGAAUCAUCUUUCCUGUUUAGACUGUAGAUUACCAGUGUCCAUUACUGAACUUUCUGGAUCAUCCCAUGUCAACACAAAAUUAUUGCUACACCCUACACAUGUCUCCAGGCCUUCACCAAAGAAAGUUUCUCUUUUUAGGGAUAUUCAGUGGUUGAAAAUGAACCAGAAGAAAGAACUUCAGAAGAAAGAGCUGGGAAGGAUAGAAGAGAAAAAUGAAGUGAACUUUAAGAAUAUUACCUGGCACACCAACUGAGGAAAUGCUGAAGAACUCUGUUUUAAGUAAUCAUUCACAUGAGUGCCUGUUUACCAGUCCAGUCCAACAGUGAGCAACUUCGAACAUUUACUCCUCUUGGACCAGCACAGCCAGCACCUGCAGCACAUCAUUCGCUGAUAUGUCACGGAUCAUUUUUCACAGCCCUGUUGAAGUGGCUUAUUUAUUAUCAUCUGUUCUGGUGUUACAUCCUGGACAUGGGAGAACUGUUUACUGUACCACAGUGCCAGGAAUUCCUUGUUACUGUGCAAUCUGACUCCAGGAUAGUGCUCAGGAUGAGGCCACUGCUUUCCUCAAGGCUGACUCUGCUGAAGUUGGAAGUGACGAGGCGAAUCUGAGGUGAUACAGCAGAAGCUGGUUGUUUGGCAGAAGAACAGAGGCAGUGAAGGUGUGACAAGAUUAAGACCAAGAUGGAGAAAGACGAAACCAGAGUUUCAGAGCUCUUGAGGACACCACAUGCCCAUGACCCUGCAGAAGAAACUGGAAAAACACCACUUCAACUUGUAAUUGGAUACAAGCUGUCUGAGAUGGAAAUUGAGAGCAAAGUUCUCUGUUUAUUUACGAGCCAGCACUGAUACCUGAAGCAUAAAGCAAGGCACCUUCAGAUCAAUGCCAGCAAACUCUCGACUAUAUUGGAAAAUCCUUCCUGCCACGGGACAAGCACGACCGUGUCCUCGUGUUCUUUCAGCGUAACCCCCACCUUGAUAACACUUGUCAUCUGAGCAGCUUGUAUGACAGGUCUGUGAAGUGGAUUACUACUGUCCACUAGAGGCUGUAAUGAGACCAACAAUGUCAUUUUAUGACAAAUUGAAGUCUUAGACUGUAAUGAUCGAUAAUUGUAAGAUUACUGUUCACAUGCAGUGCAUCGUCAGUCACUGGAUUUCCCUGAACGUGGAUGUUAAAAAAAAAAAAUCCAA